rnacentral:rRNA from 1 species
AGUGAACGCUGGCGGUAGGCCUAACACAUGCAAGUCGAACGGCAGCACAGUAAGAGCUUGCUCUUACGGGUGGCGAGUGGCGGACGGGUGAGGAAUACAUCGGAAUCUACUUUUUCGUGGGGGAUAACGUAGGGAAACUUACGCUAAUACCGCAUACGACCUACGGGUGAAAGCAGGGGAUCUUCGGACCUUGCGCGACUGAAUGAGCCGAUGUCGGAUUAGCUAGUUGGCGGGGUAAAGGCCCACCAAGGCGACGAUCCGUAGCUGGGCUGAGAGGAUGACCAGCCCCACUGGAACUGAGAAACGGUCCAGACUCCUACGGGAGGCAGCAGUGGGGAAUAUUGGACAAUGGGCGCAAGCCUGAUCCAGCCAUACCGCGUGGGUGAAGAAGGCCUUCGGGUUGUAAAGCCCUUUUGUUGGGAAAGAAAAGCAGCAGGUUAAUACCCCGCUGUUCUGACGGUACCCAAAGAAUAAGCACCGGCUAACUUCGUG